UACAGAGGUCCCAAGCGUUGUUCGGAUUCACUGGGCGUAAAGGGUGCGUAGGUGGUUAGGUAAGUCCGAUGUGAAAUCUCCAGGCUCAACCUGGAAAUGGCAUUGGAUACUAUUUAGCUUGAGGAGUGGAGGGGGGACUGGAAUUCUCGGUGUAGCAGUGAAAUGCGUAGAUAUCGAGAGGAACACCGGUGGCGAAGGCGGCCUUCUGGACAGUGACUGACGCUGAGACGCGAAAGCGUGGGGAGCAAACAGG
rnacentral:rRNA from 1 species